rnacentral:rRNA from 1 species
UACGAAGGGGGCUAGCGUUGUUCGGAUUUACUGGGCGUAAAGCGCACGUAGGCGGAUCGAUCAGUCAGGGGUGAAAUCCCAGGGCUCAACCCUGGAACUGCCUUUGAUACUGUUUAGCUUGAGGAUGAGAGAGGUGAGUGGAAUUCCCAGUGUAGAGGUGAAAUUCGUAGAUAUUCGCAAGAACACCAGUGGCGAAGGCGGCUCACUGGCCCGGUACUGACGCUGAGGCACGAAAGCGUGGGGAGCAAACAGG